AUCGCUUCUCGGCCUUUUGGCUAAGAUCAAGUGUAGUAACAGUUCUCACCCCUUGCUCUCCUUGCCCACCGUGGCCCCUGCCCGCUCUCCAUCUGGUCACCAAACCCCCA
ensembl:snRNA U2 U2 spliceosomal RNA